AUGUCUCAAUCAAAAUUGUACAGUCAGAAGUACAGAAAAGAGUGGGAGACUGUACCUGAAUUUAAAGGGUGGCUGAAGCCAGUAAUUGGGGAUGAUUGUCGGGCAUACUGUACGUACUGCAAAUCAGAUAUGCUUGCAAAAAUGUAUCACAUCAAAAAACAUUGUGCUACAGCGAAGCAUAUAAAUAAAUCAAAACCGUACAACCCCACAACGCGGUCUACAUUACCACAGUUGGUUAAGAAAGUGGAUAACUGCAAAAGCGCAGAAGCUACUAUGGCAAUGGCCAUUGCGGAGCAUUGUUCGCUGCUAGCAUGCAACCAUUUAGGUAUGGCUUGCAAAGCUGCCUUUUCAGAUUCUGUGGCAGCAACAAACUUCCAAAUGCACCGCACCAAGUGCACAGAAAUGAUUAGGGGAAUACUGGCUCCUUAUUUUCUCAAAAGGGUAACAUCAGAUGUGGGGGAUGAGAAGUUCAGUCUCCUUUUGGAUGAGUCCAUUGAUGUCAGUGUCUCGAAAUACCUGGGUGUGGUGAUUCGGUAUUUCAGUGCUAAAAAAAUAACCGUCGUGUCCACAUUUCUCGGGCUGGUUGAAUUGGAGCGGGGCGAUGCCAGAUCAAUUGCAAAGGCGGUAGUUGAGUUUCUUGAGAAGUGUAACCUUAAAAAAGAGAAUCUUCAGGGUAUUGGCACUGAUAAUGCGUCCGUGAUGACUGGGGUGCAAAAUGGGGUGCACAAGAUUUUAAAGGAAACAUGUGCAUUGCCCAAUUUGGUACUCAUCCGCUGUGUGUGCCAUUCUUUACAAUUGGCUGACAGUGCAGCAUCCAAAGAAACCAUCCCUAGGAGUGUUGAGUACUUAAUCAGGGAAACAUACAACUGGUUUUCCAUUCCCCCAAAACGGCGAGAGGCGUACAAAGAAGUGUAUGCCACCAUCAAUUGUGGCCAGAAACCCCUGCAGAUCACCAAAGUGUGUGCCACACGUUGGCUAUCGAUUGAGCCUGCGGGAACUCGUAUUUUGAGCCAGUGGGAAGAACUGAAACUCCACUUUGAGGUGACCAAGGCCAGUGAGCGUUGA
rnacentral:lncRNA from 1 species